UUAUGGUGUACCGGUACACAAUGCAGAAACGUGGCAGCUUGGGUAUUUUGGUCUUUUCACAUCUUGAUCUCAUCCAUAUGAAGCCAGCACGACUUCUGGAGCUCAGUGGAGGUUGCUGAGGCUCAGAGCACCCUUCUUCUUCAUCUCUCUCUCUCUCUCUCUAGGGUUUUUCUCUCUCUACAAAGGAUUCGACGAUUUCGCUCGUUUUCGUCGCUUCGCGCGUUUUUCGCUGGUGGCGAGCGUCGCAGAGCCUACGUGCACGUGCAAGAGAGCGUUUUGGAGGGAUUUUCGCAGCCCUGGACCAGUGAGGUGCUGGUUGGAAGCUUGAGAAGGUCUUCGAGCCUCGUUGAGCUGAACUUGUACCUUUUGAAGCUGGUUUGGGAGGUAUUCUAACCUGAGCGAGAGUGCGAACGAGCUUUGGAUCGUCGUGAGCUGACUUGUGAGAGCUCUUGGAGGCGUCUCUUGAGCAGCAUUGGGGCUUCGUUGAGCCGUUGUGGGACUUCUUGUGGAUAAUCG